AUGGCUUCCAAGCAGAUGCUCAUCGUCGCCAUCGCCGCGGCCGCCCUCGCUGUCGCCUUCCUUCCGGGGCUCGUCGUCGCCUCGGAACACGUGGUCAGCGACGACAAGGGCUGGGCCCUCUAUGUCGACUACACGGCCUGGGCUGAGACCAAGCAGUUCGUGGUCGGCGACACGCUAGUGUUCGAGUACGGUAUCUCCAGCCACAAUGUCGUGGAGGUGAGCGGGCCAGAUUUCCUCAUUUGCCACCAGACCGACAACGCCGUCGUCCGGACCUCCGGCGAGGACCGGGUCGCGCUCGACAAGGCCGGACGCCGGUGGUUCUUCUGCGGCAUCGACAACAACUGCGAGAACGGCGUGAAGCUCAAGAUCACCGUCCUCGAGACCGCCCCACCGGCUCCCCAACCCAAGGCCCCGUUGGCUGCUCCACCGCUGUCCAACCCCGCCGGCAAGCUGCAGGCCCGCUUCGGGGAGGCGGCGGCCAUGGUCACCACGGCAGCUGCGGCCGUGCUCGUGCUCUAG
rnacentral:rRNA from 1 species